rnacentral:rRNA from 1 species
UACGGAGGGUGCAAGCGUUAUCCGGAUUCACUGGGUUUAAAGGGUGCGUAGGCGGGCAGGUAAGUCCGUGGUGAAAUCUCUGAGCUUAACUCAGAAACUGCCAUGGAUACUAUUUGUCUUGAAUAUUGUGGAGGUGAGCGGAAUAUGUCAUGUAGCGGUGAAAUGCUUAGAUAUGACAUAGAACACCAAUUGCGAAGGCAGCUCACUACACGAAUAUUGACACUGAGGCACGAAAGCGUGGGGAUCAAACAGG